AUUGAACGCUGGCGGCAUGCUUUACACAUGCAAGUCGAACGGCAGCGCGGGCUUCGGCCUGGCGGCGAGUGGCGAACGGGUGAGUAAUACAUCGGAACGUGCCCAGCUGUGGGGGAUAGCUCGGCGAAAGCCGGAUUAAUACCGCAUACGACCUGAUGGUGAAAGCGGGGGAUCUUUGGACCUCUCGCUCUUGUGGGGGCCGAUGGCAGAUUAGCUAGUUGGUGGGGUAAAGGCCUACCAAGGCGACGAUCUGUAGCUGGUCUGAGAGGACGACCAGCCACACUGGGACUGAGACACGGCCCAGACUCCUACGGGAGGCAGCAGUGGGGAAUUUUGGACAAUGGGCGAAAGCCUGAUCCAGCAAUGCCGCGUGUGUGAUGAAGGCCUUCGGGUUGUAAAGCACUUUUGGCGGGAACGAAAAGGACUGUGCCAAUACCACGGUUCGAUGACGGUACCCGCAGAAUAAGCACCGGCUAACUACGUG
rnacentral:rRNA from 1 species